GUAGGUGAACCUGCGGAAGGAUCAUUAAUGAAACUUGGGAAAAUUGAUGCUAGAACUUGUUCUAUGCGCUUUUCCCUUAAUCCAUACACACCUGUGCACUUUGAAAGGAGAGAACGGCUUAACGGCUGGUCUGUCCUUUCUCAUACAAACCCUUCUUGUAAAACGAAUGUUCAUUGGCCGAAAGGCUCUAAAAAAUACAACUUUUAACAACGGAUCUCUUGGCUCUCGCAUCGAUGAAGAACGCAGCAUC
rnacentral:misc_RNA from 1 species